AGAGUGCAUUUGAAACUGUAUAUCUUGAGUACAGCAGAGGAGAACGGAAUUCCUGGAGUAGCGGUGGAAUGCGUAGAUAUCAGGAAGAACACCAGUGGCGUAAGCGGUUCUCUGGGCUGUAACUGACGCUGAGGUACGAAAGCUGGGGGAGCGAACGGGAUUAGAUACCCCGGUAGUCCCAGCUGUAAACGAUGGACACUAGGUGUUGGGGGUUCGAUUCCCUCAGUGCCGCAGUUAACGCAUUAAGUGUCCCGCCUGGGGAUUACGGUCGCAAGACUGAAACUCAAAGGAAUUGACGGGGGCCCGCACAAGCGGUGGAGCAUGUGGUUUAAUUCGAUGCAACGCGAAGAACCUUACCGAGGUUUGACAUCCUGUGACUACCUGUGAAAGCAGG
rnacentral:rRNA from 1 species